rnacentral:rRNA from 1 species
CACAUGCAAGUCGAACGAGGUCCAUCCACUCGCAAGAGUGGUGAAGACCUAGUGGCGAACGGGUGAGUAACACGUGAGAAACCUGCCCCGAAGACCGGGAUAACUCACCGAAAGGUGAGCUAAUACCGGAUGCCUCCACGACGUCUCAUGGCGAUGUGAAGAAAUGGAUUCCGCUUCGGGAGGGUCUCGCGGCCUAUCAGCUCGUUGGUGAGGUAACGGCUCACCAAGGCGGCGACGGGUAGCUGUUCUGAGAGGAAGAUCAGCCACACUGGGACUGAGACACGGCCCAGACUCCUACGGGAGGCAGCAGUGGGGAAUCUUGCGCAAUGGGCGAAAGCCUGACGCAGCGAUGCCGCGUGCGGGAAGACGGCCUUCGGGUUGUAAACCGCUUUCAGCAGGGACAAAAUUGACGGUACCUGCAGAAGAAGCUCCGGCCAACUACGUGCCAGCAGCCGCGGUAAGACGUAGGGGGCGAGCGCUGUCCGGAAUUAUUGGGCAUAAAGGGCUCCUAGGCGGUUCAGUAAGUCGACUGUGAAAAUCCAAGGCUCAACCUUGGGACGCCAGUCGAUACUGCUGUGACUCGAGUUCGGUAGAGGAGUGUGGAAUUCCUGGUGUAGCGGUGAAAUGCGCAGAUAUCAGGAGGAACACCAACGGCGAAGGCAGCACUCUGGGCCGAUACUGACGCUGAAGAGCGAAAGC